ACGCCGGCCUCUCUCACUUUCCCUCACUGGCGACUUCCGUUCCCUCUCUCCGCUCUCACACCCGCACGGCAAGAGGCGAUAGACUGACAACCCACGACUUCGGUGACCGCCGCCCAUCGACAACAGGCCACGCGUCACGCAAUUUCCGAGUGGCGCUGCAUCAACGAUCCCCGGCCGCCAUCCUAUUCCGCGCUCUUCAGGCCGAACCCCUAUUCGAAGCCAAGAAUCUAGGCAAGGACACGAGGAAGGAAAUGAAGGUGAGGUCUGAUGAUGAAGAACCCGGGAGACUCGAACGAUAAGAUAAAUCAAGAAUUGACCUUCAUCGUGGCAAGUCCCAUCUCCUUGAUCAUGUUGAAUCAAUGUUUUUAAUAAUCUAAAUUGAUCAACUUAAAAUAUGACUUAUUAUCACAUGUGCUAUGUAUUGUGCUAUUUUCAA